rnacentral:rRNA from 1 species
AACGAACGCUGGCGGCAUGCCUAACACAUGCAAGUCGAACGAGACCUUCGGGUCUAGUGGCGCACGGGUGCGUAACGCGUGGGAACCUGCCCUUAGGUUCGGAAUAACUCCCCGAAAGGGGUGCUAAUACCGGAUAAUGUCUUCGGACCAAAGAUUUAUCGCCUUUGGAUGUGCCCGCGAUGGAUUAGCUAGUUGGUAGGGUAAAGGCCUACCAAGGCGACGACCCGUAGCUGGUCUGAGAGGAUGACCAGCAACACUGGGACUGAGACACGGCCCAGACUCAUACGGGAGACAUCAGUGCGGAAGAUGGCACAAGGGGCGUAAGCCUGAUGCAGCAACGCCGCUUGCGGGAUGACGGCCAUCGGGUUGUAAUCCGCUUACAGCAGGGGCGAAGCUUGUGGUGACGGUACCUGCAGAAGAAGCACCGGCUAAGUACGUG